ACGAACGCUGGCGGCAUGCCUAACACAUGCAAGUCGAACGAGACCUUCGGGUCUAGUGGCGCACGGGUGCGUAACGCGUGGGAACCUGCCCUUAGGUUCGGAAUAACUCCCCGAAAGGGGUGCUAAUACCGGAUAAUGUCUUCGGACCAAAGAUUUAUCGCCUUUGGAUGGGCCCGCGUUGGAUUAGCUAGUUGGUAGGGUAAAAGCCUACCAAGGCGACGAUCCAUAGCUGGUCUGAGAGGAUGAUCAGCCACACUGGGACUGAGACACGGCCCAGACUCCUACGGGAGGCAGCAGUGGGGAAUAUUGGAAAAUGGGCGAAAGCCUGAUCCAGCAAUGCCGGGUGAGUGAUGAAGGCCUUAGGGUUGUAAAGCUCUUUUACCCGGGAUGAUAAUGACAGUACCGGGAGAAUAAGCGCCGGCUAACUCCGUG
rnacentral:rRNA from 1 species